UAAACGGAUAUCGUAAUCCGGUGCUGUGUGUGGUACCUGGUUUGGAUACCAGAGAGGUUAGGAGACAGCUUCUAAAGAUUUAUCUUGGCGAGGGGAAACCCAGGGUAGCUCCCAUCUGAGUACGUCGCAUCCUAACAUGCCAAUCCGGAGAAUGGGGUGAAACUCCUCUGUAAUCCGGUCAGGGAAUCUCAUUCCGCUUAUGGAAGAACUUAUCGCCAUAAGGUGACGCGUCGGGAAGCGUGUUGUUGAGGAAACACGGUCUCUCUGCAGUUCGGGGAGGCCGGCAUAUUACUCAUAU
rnacentral:ribozyme from 1 species